AGCACACAGGGAGUCCUGAGCUUCAUCCUCAGCACCACAUAGUAGAUAUUGUGGUACCCACCUAUAAACCAGGAAUCCCAGUAUAUGGGAGGUAGAGGUAGGAGGAUCAGAAGUUCAAGGCCAUCCUCAGCUACAUAAGGUCAUGUUGCCAGAGACAUUUGGGAUGAUGAUGAUGACGACGACGACGACGGCGGCGGCGGCGGCGGCGGCGGCGAUGAUGAUGAUGAUGAUGAUGAUUAUUUCAUCUUGCUCAUUUAUCUCCCAAAAGAACCUAUAUCAAUGAAAACGAAGUCCCAUUCUCAUGUAUUUAAAAGAAAAAUAAACCCAGGGAAACUUCCCUCCCCUUCCCAAA